rnacentral:rRNA from 1 species
CACACCGCCCGUCACAUCACGAAAGUGGGCUGUACUAGAAGUCGUCGUGCCAACCCGCAAGGGGGCAGACGCCCAAGGUAUGGUUCAUGAUUGGGGUG